GCCUCCGCGCCUUUUUUUUUUCCUUAAUUAUGAUUCUGGGAGGGGGGGGCGGGGGGGGGGGGGGUGUUAAGUUUUAUGCAUUUAAGGAGGUGAGGCAGCACCCGCCCCAAAACUCGCCCCCUGCCCUGUCACCAAGAGCUGAGUCAGCGCCUCAGGACCAGACGAGGUGGUGGUGGUGACACUGGGACCAGAUGAGAUGACACUGGGACCAGAUGGCUGCUGCCGGUGUGCCGCUAGGUCACUCACUACCUCUCUGCCAGCGCCGCAUGACAGACACUAAGCUCUCAGCACACCGGCAUGGAAGUCUGCGAGAAGACCUCAGAGGAAACCGCAGUUUUUAUGGUGGAAUACAACUACGAAUGCCAAGAAAACACUUUGCAAAGCUACCAGCGAUUCAACUCUCCAUUCAGACUUGGUCGCUCAGAAUGAACAUCAAGAGGCUGCAAAAAUCUGGAUAAGCAUUCCUAAUGUCCAUGCCAUCACAGAGCAAUGAACUAUAACCAGCUUUAAGCCUCUGUGCAGGUAAAUUGCAUUGUCAAGUUCAGUUAGAGUAUUAAGUUUGGAUUUCUACCCUCAGUGACUUGUAACUAUCUUCUUCCAAAGAAGUAUCAGCCCAAAUUUUACCUAAUGAAAACACUAGUAGGAAGCAAAAUGCUUUUCAGGUUCAUCUGACAGGUAGUUGAGCAACUCUGUGUGUACCUGCUCAGAGUACAUACUUCUUUAUGUACCCAUAUGAACAUACAAUGCUAUGGAAUGUAAAGAAGUAUGUAUUUUUGGCAGGCACGGAACAACCAGUAAGAGGAAACUAAACAGCUGUUGGAAGAAACAGGCUUCCCCCUUGUUUGAAUGACAUUCAUGUGACAAAUUAACUUGCUGAGGGGUCAGCUGGUAUUGCCAAAAUAACACAUACUUAUUAGGACCAAAUCACAAAACGUUUAAUGAAGUGACUGCAAACGUGGGUAGAAAAAGUUGGUGGUGGAUUAUAAGCAGAACAUUAGUUGUACAUACAAAAACUCAAAAUGAGGCUGGAAACAAUUGAAACAUGCUAAUUAAGAUCACAGCAUAGCAGCAAAAAUUACAAUUACCAGUACACCUCAUUCAAAAGACCCUAAGCAAACCUUAAAAGCCAAAUCAAUUACCAAGAUGUAUCUCAUUUAACCAAGCCAUUAUUUUAUUAAUCACAGCAAGUUCCGUGUGCUUAAGACAGCAGGUUUUAAAUUUAUAUCAACCACAGUAUUUAACCUCCAGGCUACAACUAGGAAACAAGCAGAACCAGCUAAGAAAUUCAGCCUGUGAUUUCGAGAAAAGGAUAAUCAGAAUUACAGAAUUAUGUGCCACUUAAGUUAGAAUUUUCUCCAAAGCAGCAUUCAGUAUGCUCACCGAGCUCUGCGAUACAAACUGCUCAGUCAGGUUUAUGCACAGAAAGUGACAAUACAGAGAUUUCUAGGCCACAGUUCCUAGUCAGCAGAUUAAAGCUAUUGACAGAUUCCUAAAUGAAAACACAAAUGACAACUAAUACUUAGAAGUUCCCUUAACUACUAUUUUCAAAUGAACUGAAUUUACUGUAAAGCUAGAUAUAAGGAAAUUGGCCAAGCAAAGAUGAUUUUAGAGCAUCCAGAAAAUUGUAAGACCUCUACGAGAAAUAUCAAAGCAUUGGGGAAAAAGUCCCACAGCAGUUUCGAGCUCCAAAAGCAGUAUUAAUUAAAAUAUACCAGCACAUACCAUCCCUAUGAUGCUCAUUAUAAAAUACAGAAAUAAGGAAAAUAUAGAGGAAAGCUCCCAGCUCACCAGUCCAGCAAUUCCUAUUCAUAAUAGCAGCCUUCUAAAAACAGUUACAUGAUACAUUCAUGAAAAGUAGACACAUUUGUCCCAGAUUAAAUAUCCUAACUCUACCCAUGUACUUAAUAAAAAGUCUGGGAGGAGGAAAAAUAACA